GGCCAGCAGCCGCGGUAAUACGGAGGUGGCAAGCGUUGUUCGGAAUUACUGGGCGUAAAGGGCGCGUAGGCGGCAAAACAAGUCAGAUGUGAAAGCCCCGGGCUUAACUCGGGAAUUGCAUCUGAAACUGAUUUGCUUGAGUUCUGGAGGGGGUAGUGGAAUUCCCAGUGUAGCGGUGAAAUGCGUAGAUAUUGGGAGGAACACCUGCGGCGAAGGCGGCUACCUGGACAGUAACUGACGCUGAGGCGCGAAAGCUAGGGGAGCGAACAGGAUUAGAUACCCUGGUAGUCCUAGCUGUAAACGAUGGGCACUUGGUGUUGGGGGUAUUGAGUCCCCCGGUGCCGGAGUUAACACGUUAAGUGCCCCGCCUGGGGAGUACGGUCGCAAGACUGAAACUCAAAGGAAUUGACGGGGGCCCGCACAAGC
rnacentral:rRNA from 1 species